GAGAAACGUUUGAGUCUUGGUAAGUGGUGUUCUUACUUGGAACCCUCGCGAGUCACGACCCAGGCAAGGCAAAAGAGGAAGACCCUCCAACUUUCGUGAAUAUUCGGCCCACUGUUGCUUCCAAGUCCUCCAUUGUUGAAGGAGGAGGAGGCCUCCAUUACCAUUACCCAGAAAAUGUCAGUCGUUAGUGAUAAAAGGCUCAGGAGAGGAAGCCCGCCAUGGUCUGAUCUUCCAUAUGACAUAUUGUGUUGCAUAAUGGGGCACCUUUGUUUUGUGGCCAAAUUCAAUUUCGUGCUGUUUGCAAGAAUUUUGGACUGGUUGCUGGUAUUAGGCCUAAAGAUAAACUGCCCUGGGUUCUAACAUUAAACUUCAGUUUUAAAAAUGAUAUGUACCCAUCUAGCCUCUAUGAUCCAUGUACCCUUCAAGCAUAUAAGCUUGAUCAUGAAUUAACAUCUUCUAGCUGGACUGGGGUUGUCAAACUACAAGUUUGCGGUGCAAGAAACGGUUGGUUGCUUCUAGCUGAAAUUACACCUUUUUUUUUCUUUGGUCACACUGAUUUUUACCUCUACAAUCCUUUCACUGAUGAUGCGAGUAUCAAUUUGCCCCGUUAAAGAACCAAGGAAUUUAAAGCCACAUUCACCUCCAAUCUGACGUCCCAAGAUUGUUUGUUUUUUGCCAUACAUGCUGAUGAGGAAAGGGAAAAGGUAAUGUGCAUAAGCACCUGCAGCCAUGGUGAUAGAAAAUGGACUGAGUCUCUAGCUGUUGAAGAAAACACGAAUUCAUCGGAGUUACGAAGCC